GACCCCAUCGUCUAGCCUGGCCUAGGACAUCACCCUUUCACGGUGAUGACGCGGGUUCGAAUCCCGCUGGGGUCG
rfam:Omnitrophica bacterium RIFCSPHIGHO2_02_FTLL_51_18 rifcsphigho2_02_scaffold_8667, whole genome shotgun sequence.